CAGCCGCCGCGGUAAAACGUAGGGUGCAAGCGUUAAUCGGAAUUACUGGGCGUAAAGCGUGCGCAGGCGGUUAUAUAAGUCAGAUGUGAAAUCCCCGGGCUCAACCUGGGAACUGCAUUUGAGACUGUAUGGCUAGAGUGUGUCAGAGGGGGGUAGAAUUCCACGUGUAGCAGUGAAAUGCGUAGAUAUGUGGAGGAAUACCGAUGGCGAAGGCAGCCCCCUGGGAUAACACUGACGCUCAUGCACGAAAGCGUGGGGAGCAAACAGGAUUAGAUACCCCCGUAGUCCCUGUCUCUUAUAC
rnacentral:rRNA from 1 species